AGCUGGAAUUGCUAGUAAUGGCAGGUCAGCAUACUGCCGUGAAUACGUUCCCGGGCCUUGUACACACCGCCCGUCACACCAUGAGAGUUGGAAAUACCCGAAGCCUGUGAGCUAACUUAAAGAGGCAGCAGUCGAAGGUAGAGCCAAUGAUUGGGUGAAGUCGUAACAAGGUACC
rnacentral:rRNA from 1 species